AGAUUGAACGCUGGCGGCAUGCCUAACACAUGCAAGUCGAACGGGAGUAGCAAUACUCUAGUGGCGGACGGGUGAGGAAUACGUAGGAAUUUGCCCUUAAGUGGGGGAUAACCCGGGGAAACCCGGAUUAAUACCGCAUGACCUCGAAAGAGCAAAGUGGGGGAUCGCAAGACCUCACGCUUUUGGAGAAGCCUACGUCGGAUUAGCUAGUUGGUGAGGUAAUGGCUCACCAAGGCGACGAUCCGUAACUGGUCUGAGAGGAUGAUCAGUCACACCGGAACUGAGACACGGCCCAGACUCCUACGGGAGCAGCAGUGGGGAAUAUUGGACAAUGGGGGCAACCCUGAUCCAGCCAUGCCGCGUGUGUGAAGAAGGCC
rnacentral:rRNA from 1 species